rnacentral:rRNA from 2 species
GUGAAGAUGCAGUGUACCCGCGGCAAGACGGAAAGACCCCGUGAACCUUUACUAUAGCUUGACACUGAACAUUGAGCCUUGAUGUGUAGGAUAGGUGGGAGGCUUUGAAGUGUGGACGCCAGUCUGCGUGGAGCCGACCUUGAAAUACCACCCUUUAAUGUUUGAUGUUCUAACGUGGACCCGUAAUCCGGGUUGCGGACAGUGUCUGGUGGGUAGUUUGACUGGGGCGGUCUCCUCC